CUAGGCUUUGACUUGCAAGUUCCUCUGGUUCUUUGUUCCCAACAACGGGUAUUUGUUUGGAGUCCUGUAAACGUUUUUCCUUGCUCUGCAUCUUCUAAUAUCAUGACCUGAGCUUUCUGAAGGCAAUACAAAUGAUUCCAGGAUCGAAAAUACUAUUUCAAUGAUCAGAACUUAUGAUUCCACCAAAAAUUCUACAACCAGUGAACAUGAUCAAUUAAA